UGAGUAACACGUAUCCAACCUGCCGUCUACUCUUGGACAGCCUUCUGAAAGGAAGAUUAAUAUAAGAUGGCAUCAUGAGUCCGCAUGUUCACAUGAUUAAAGGUAUUCAGGUAGACGAUGGGGAUGCGUUCCAUUAGAUAGUAGGCGGGGUAACGGCCCACCUAGUCUUCGAUGGAUAGGGGUUCUGAGAGGAAGGUCCCCCACAUUGGAACUGAGACACGGUCCAA
rnacentral:rRNA from 1 species